GACGAACGCUGGCGGCGGGCUUAAUACAUGCAAGUCGAACGAGAAGCUCCAGCUUGCUGGAGUGAAAAUGGCGAACGGGUGCGUAACGCGUAGGCAACCUGCCCUUCAGUGGGGAAUAACUUCGGGAAACCGAAGCUAAUACCGCAUAUUAUCUUGACCUCUCAUGGGGAUGAGAUGAAAGCCUUCGGGCGCUGAGGGAUGGGCCUGCGUCGGAUUAGGUAGUUGGUGAGGUAACAGCUCACUAAGCCUACGAUCCGUAGCUGGUCUGAGAGGAUGAUCAGCCACACUGGCACUGAGACACGGGCCAG
rnacentral:rRNA from 1 species